rnacentral:rRNA from 1 species
AUAGCCUAACGGCUGAACCAGCAACUUGCAAGAAUGUAUAGCAAUAGCUAUUUGCACUAAAAAUGUUUAGUGUGAAAUCGACUAUGUCGAAUAAAAUUCUGGGUAGAAUUAUGAUAAUGACAUUAGCUAUUCAUAAGUCUUGACCAAAUUACGUGCCAGCAGUCGCGGCAAUACGUAGAAGCCAAGUGUUAUUCAUCUUUAAUAGGUUUAAAGGGUACUUAGACGGUAAAUAAAGCCUUUAAAGGGUACUAGUUUGCUAGAGUUUUAUAUGAAGGGGUUUUAAAGUACUGCUGGUGUAGAGAUGAAAUUCAGUUAUACCUUACAUGGCACAGGUUAAGGCGAAGGCAUCUUCUUAUGUAAAAACUGACGUUGAAGGACGAAGGCUUUGUGUCUCGAACAGGAUUAGAUACCCUAGUAGUCUAAGCAGAAAAUGAUGAAUGUCAUAGAUUAGAUGUAAUUUGAUCUAUAAAUGAAAGUGUAAGCAUUCCACCUCAAGAGUAAUUUGGCAACAUUGGAACUGAAAUCAUUAGACCGUUUCUGAAACCAGUAGUGAUGUAUGUUGUUUAAUUUGAUAAUCCGCAAAAAACCUUACCACAACUUGAAUAGAUAUAUUUUAUCAUACAAGCGCUGCACGGCUGUCUUUAGUUAAUGUCGUGAGACUUUGGUUAGUUCCAUUAAAUUAACGUAAACCCUUACUUUAUUUUUAUAUAAAGUAGUUCACCGCUAUAUUGGAUGUGAUAACAGGGAUCAAGACAAGUCAUCAUGGCCUAAAUAUUGU